CUGUACAGCCAUACCACCCUGAAUGUGCCCUAUCUUGUCUGAUCUCGGAAGCUAAGCAGAGUGGGUCUGGUUAGUGCUUGGAUGGGAGAAUGAAUCCUGAAAGACAUAAAAU
rnacentral:rRNA from 1 species